CGCCACCGCGGCCGCCGGAGGCGGGGUUGACCCGAACGCACCGGCGCCCCACCGCCGGAGGCGACUGGCGCUCUGGGCUCCAUCCCGACGCCCGCGCUAGGAUCGUCAGUAAGAUGUAAGCGGCGACCUCAAUCUUUGAUUUGAUCCUUCAUCCCCUUGAUUUAUUGGAGCACUCCUUCCAGAUCUAGUUGCACUCCUCAUCCAGCUCCAUGUCUCCUGGUGCGGCGGCACAGUGGGAGGGUGUGAACGCGCGGCCGCCCAGGGGUGGUGGUGGUGGUGACCUGCCUGCUCGUCCCUCGUCCUCAUCACCAGCCUCUCCGAGGUCGCUGCUGGGGCAAUCUCCAUGGGCCCUUGAGGAUGGAGUAGGAGGAUGAGCAGCAGCAAAUGAGCCUGAUGGUGAAGAAGCACCUGAUGAGCAGAACUCGUUCAAGAGCUCUUUUGUCCUUCCAAAACAGGGUCUUGAUGUCCCCCUUACAGAAAAAUGUUCAUACAUGUUCCUGCAUGAUGCGCGUGUGCAUGUUGGAUGGUCAUAUUCUAGUGUACUAGCUAGCUAGUAAGCUUGUUUUGCUACCGGAUGAUUGAAUGUCAUCUCAGUUUUUACCUCAUGUAGCUCACCGCCUAAUUUGUAGGUAAAGAUACCGUUGGCAUAUAUUAUCAGCAGCAUUUUUUCAUAAAAAAAAUAAAAAAUGUUGAUUUAGGUCCA